rfam:Novosphingobium sp. P6W scaffoldA10, whole genome shotgun sequence.
UUUGCGGGCCGGGCCCCUCUGGCGCGGUGCAGGACAUGAUUUCUGCACCUCGUGAUGUCGGACCGCAUCG